rnacentral:rRNA from 1 species
UACGUAGGUGGCAAGCGUUGUCCGGAUUUAUUGGGUUUAAAGGGUGCGUAGGCGGCCCUGUAAGUCAGUGCUGAAAUGUCCCGGCUUAACCGGGAGGGUGGCAUUGAUACUGCGGGGCUAGAGUACAGAUGAGGUAGGCGGAAUUGACGGUGUAGCGGUGAAAUGCUUAGAUAUCGUCAAGAACACCUAUAGCGAAGGCAGCUUACUAGGCUGUAACUGACGCUGAGGCACGAAAGUGUGGGGAUCAAACAGG